CCUACGGGAGGCAGCAGUGGGGAAUAUUGCACAAUGGGGGCAACCCUGAUGCAGCGAAGCCGCGUGAAGGAUGAAGUCUCUAGGUAUGUAAACCUCUAUCAGCAGGGGAGAAAAUGACGGUACCUGACUAAGAAGCCACGGCUAACUACGUUACAGCAGCCGCGGUAAUACGUAGGGGGCAAGCGUUAUCCGGAUUUACUGGGUGUAAAGGGAGCGUAGGCGGUUUAGCAAGUCAGAAGUGAAAGCCCGGGGCUCAACUCCGGGACUGCUUUUGAAACUGUUGAACUUGAGUGCAGGAGAGGUAAGUGGAAUUCCUAGUGUAGCGGUGAAAUGCGUAGAUAUUAGGAGGAACACCAGUGGCGAAGGCGGCUUACCGGACUGUAAAUGACGCUGAGGCUCGAAAGCGUGGGUAGCAAACAGGAUUAGAUACCCGGGUAGUC
rnacentral:rRNA from 1 species